GAUGAACGCUGGCGGCGUGCCUAAUACAUGCAAGUCGAGCGAACAGAUGAGGAGCUUGCUCCUCUGACGUUAGCGGCGGACGGGUGAGUAACACGUGGAUAGCCUACCUAUAAGACUGGGAUAACUUCGGGAAACCGGAGCUAAUACCGGAUAAUAUAUUGAACCGCAUGGUUCAAUAGUGAAAGACGGUUUUGCUGUCACUUAUAGAUGGAUCCGCGCCGCAUUAGCUAGUUGGUAAGGUAACGGCUUACCAAGGCAACGAUGCGUAGCCGACCUGAGAGGGUGAUCGGCCACACUGGAACUGAGACACGGUCCAGACUCCUACGGGAGGCAGCAGUAGGGAAUCUUCCGCAAUGGGCGAAAGCCUGACGGAGCAACGCCGCGUGAGUGAUGAAGGUCUUCGGAUCGUAAAACUCUGUUAUUAGGGAAGAACAAAUGUGUAAGUAACUAUGCACGUCUUGACGGUACCUAUUCAGAAAGCCACGGCUAACUACGUG
rnacentral:rRNA from 1 species